rnacentral:tRNA from 1 species
GCCUCCUUGGCUCAGUUGGCUAGAGCGCAGGUCUCAUAUUCCGAUAUGAGUGAUCAUUCAGAUCAUACAAUCCUGAGGUCGCAAGUUCGAGCCUUGCAGGGGGCA